GGGCCCGCACAAGCAGUGGAUUAUGUGGUUUAAUUCGAAGCAACGCGAAGAACCUUACCAGGGCUUGACAUCCAACUAACGAAGCAGAGAUGCAUUAGGUGCCCUUCGGGGAAAGUUGAGACAGGUGGUGCAUGGUUGUCGUCAGCUCGUGUCGUGAGAUGUUGGGUUAAGUCCCGCAACGAGCGCAACCCUUAUUGUUAGUUGCUACGCAAGAGCACUCUAGCGAGACUGCCGUUGACAAAACGGAGGAAGGUGGGGACGACGUCAAAUCAUCAUGCCCCUUAUGUCCUGGGCUACACACGUAAUACAAUGGCGUUUAACAGAGGGAAGCAAAGCCGCGAGGUGGAGCAAAUCCCUAAAAGGCGUCUCAGUUCGGAUUGCAGGCUGCAACUCGCCUGCAUGAAGUCGGAAUUGCUAGUAAUCGCGGAUCAGCAUGCCGCGGUGAAUACG
rnacentral:rRNA from 2 species